GACGAACGCUGGCGGCGUGCUUAACACAUGCAAGUCGAGCGGAAAGGCCCUUCGGGGUACUCGAGCGGCGAACGGGUGAGUAACACGUGAGUAACCUGCCCCAGACUUUGGGAUAACCCUCGGAAACGGGGGCUAAUACCGGAUACGACACAGCUUCGCAUGGGGUCUGUGUGGAAAGUUUUUCGGUUUGGGAUGGGCUCGCGGCCUAUCAGCUUGUUGGUGGGGUGAUGGGCUACCGAGGCGACCGCGGGUAGCCGGCCUGAGAGGGCGACCGGCCACACUGGGACUGAGACACGGCACAGGCUCCUACGGGAGGCAGCAGGGGGGAAUAUUGCACAAUGGGCGGAAGGCUGAUGCAGCAACGCCGCGUGAUGGAUAACGGCCUUCGGGGUAUAAACCUCUUGCAGCAGGGACGAAGCGUAAGUGACGGUACCUGCAGAAGAAACGCCGGCCAACUACGUG
rnacentral:rRNA from 1 species